rnacentral:misc_RNA from 1 species
UACGGAGGAUCCAAGCGUUAUCCGGAAUCAUUGGGUUUAAAGGGUCCGCAGGCGGAUUUAUAAGUCAGUGGUGAAAUCCUAUCGCUUAACGAUAGAACUGCCAUUGAUACUGUAAGUCUUGAAUUCGGUCGGAGUGGGCGGAAUGUGUAGUGUAGCGGUGAAAUGCAUAGAUAUUACACAGAACACCGAUAGCGAAGGCAGCUCACUAGGCCUGAAUUGACGCUCAGGGACGAAAGCGUGGGGAUCAAACAGG